UACGGGGGGAGCAAGCGUUGUUCGGAUUUACUGGGCGUAAAGGGCGCGUAGGCGGCGCAACAAGUCACUUGUGAAAUCUCCGGGCUUAACCCGGAGCGGUCAAGUGAUACUGUCGUGCUAGAGUGCGGAAGGGGCUACUGGAAUUCUUGGUGUAGCGGUGAAAUGCGUAGAUAUCAAGAGGAACACCUGAGGUGAAGACGGGUUGCUGGGCUGACACGUGACGCUGGAGGCGCGAAAGCUAGGGGAGCGAACGGG
rnacentral:rRNA from 1 species